AGCGAACGCUGGCGGCAGGCCUAACACAUGCAAGUCGAGCGCUCGUAGCAAUACGAGAGCGGCAGACGGGAGAGUAACACGUGGGAACGUACCCUUUGGUUCGGAACAACACAGGGAAACUUGUGCUAAUACCGAAUAAGCCCUUACGGGGAAAGAUUUAUCGCCGAAGGAUCGGCCCGCGUCUGAUUAGCUAGUUGGUGGGGUAAUGGCUCACCAAGGCGACGAUCAGUAGCNGGUCUGAGAGGAUGACCAGCCUCAUUGGGACUGAGACACGGCCCAAACUCCUACGGGAGGCAGCAGUGGGGAAUAUUGGACAAUGGGCGCAAGCCUGAUCCAGCCAUGCCGCGUGGAUGAUGAAGGCCUUAGGGUUGUAAAGUCCUUUUAACGGGGAAGAUAAUGACGGUACCCGUAGAAUAAGCCCCGGCUAACUUCGUGCCAGCCGCCGCGGU
rnacentral:rRNA from 1 species